rnacentral:rRNA from 1 species
ACCCAGACCGCCAGCUAAGGUCCCAAAGUCAUGGUUAAGUGGGAAACGAUGUGGGAAGGCACAGACAGCCAGGAUGUUGGCUUAGAAGCAGCCAUCAUUUAAAGAAAGCGUAAUAGCUCACUGGUCGAGUCGGCCUGCGCGGAAGAUGUAACGGGGCUAAACCAUGCACCGAAGCUGCGGCAGCGACACUAUGUGUUGUUGGGUAGGGGAGCGUUCUGUAAGCCUGCGAAGGUGUGCUGUGAGGCAUGCUGGAGGUAUCAGAAGUGCGAAUGCUGACAUAAGUAACGAUAAAGCGGGUGAAAAGCCCGCUCGCCGGAAGACCAAGGGUUCCUGUCCAACGUUAAUCGGGGCAGGGUGAGUCGACCCCUAAGGCGAGGCCGAAAGGCGUAGUCGAU